GUUCUUGUAGUAAAAUAAUUACAGUGGUUCUUCAAGUCAUUAAUCUUGGUUAAAGUCCAAGCAGGAAUU
rnacentral:tRNA from 2 species